UGUAUCUGAAGUCUGACGAGGAUGAGAACCUCCGGGGGCAAGAGGUUCGACUCGAGCGAAGCGAGAGAACGUUGCGUCAGCAACGGCCCGCAGGGCGAGCCACGCAGUGGCGAGUCAUCCUC
rnacentral:sRNA from 2 species